CACGUAGGGCGCAAGCGUUGUCCGGAAUUAUUGGGCGUAAAGAGCUCGUAGGCGGUCUGUUGCGUCCGCUGUGAAAACCCGGGGCUCAACCCCGGGCUUGCGGUCGAUACGGGCAGGCUGGAGUUCGGUAGGGGAGACUGGAAUUCCUGGUGUAGCGGUGAAAUGCGCAGAUAUCAGGAGGAACACCGGUGGCGAAGGCGGGUCUCUGGGCCGAUACUGACGCUGAGGAGCGAAAGCGUGGGGAGCGAACAGG
rnacentral:rRNA from 1 species